GACCACCUAGCUCAGUUGGCAGAGCAUUGGGCUAGUAUUCCAAAGGUCGUAGGUUCGAAUCCCACCGUGGCCA